UCCAAGUUCCAACCCUCCCUCUCCCUGCGCUGCGAGCCUGCAAGCUACAAGUCUGCGACUGCGAACUGUGAAGAAAACCCUUGUUUGGAACAAGAAACUAAGCAAGCAUUGAGCGAAGAAUCGGUGGUACUAUGAAGAACACCCUUGUUCGGAACUAACCCUUGUCCUUGUUUCAACGUUCAACCCUCCCUCUCCCUGCGCUGCGACCUACGAGUCUAUGAUUGCGAGGCUGCAAGUUUGCAACUGUGAACCGGCGGUAAUUUUCAUUAGCUGACGCCCGACGAAUUGGCGGUACUCACAGCUCUCAGUCAAAUCUCAGCUCUUACGUUCUCCGUCUCUCACAAUCGACGCCCGACGCUCUGAGAGUUCGAAGUUGGAGCUUGGAAGGACUGAUUGGCUCCCAUCAACAACUCUAUUACUAGUCGUCCAGCAUUCAAAAGACCACCGCACCAUCCAAUCAUCCAUGCUAACUUGUUGCAGUAUUUGUAAAUCCACAAAACUCAAUAAAAUGUGGUUAGCAGUUAGCACUACUCAUGGGCUGAAGUUCACACAAUCCAAGAUUGACUAACAUUCAAAGGAGAUUGCAGACAUGGCUUGCAGUCGUAGCCAAGAAGGUAUCUCUAGUGGAUGUUGGAAUUGUAGGAGGCCUCAGUGAUGGGUCAGACGAGAAGGAAAAGGGACCACCAACUUCAGCUUUCAUGGGAAAAGCCAUGGUGGUAGGGUCAGGUCUUGGUAGAUCUGGAUUUACCCCCUUCAACUGGAAUGGCUGAAAAUGACUCAUUUUCGUCCCUCAGACAACAACAGUUCGGUAGCUUCAAAUGAUGAUUUUUCUGUUUUCCUCUUUUGAUAUUCUUCAACGCUUUCGCAGAAAAAGUUGAAGAAUGGGUGUCUUGGUGUGCUUCAUUUAUUCUAUGCAUUAUUAACAAUAUUUGGUUUGAUAAUUGCAUGUUGUUAACUCUAUGAUGGCAUUAGCCAGGCCUUUUUUCAUUAUGUCUCUAGGCAUUCCAGAAUAUAAUUCCUUUAAAGAUAUGUGACUUAAUCAAUACGGAGGAUCUUUCCAUUGUUAGAUUGUGGUUGUAGCGGUUCUGUCUUACCCCAAUUGAAAGUUCUAUAUAGCUGGGUCAAGCAAAUCCAUCGAAAUCUGGCCAAGAAAAUUUCAGCAAGAGCAAACAGGGAAAUGUUUCCUACUGGGAGUUGGCGAGUGAUAAUUAACGAGUUAGAAGUAUUCUCCAUGCUCGCAAAUGAAAGAGUUCGCAUUGGUUCAGGAUUAUGAAGUCAGCAUAGAAACUAGAGUGUUUGUGUUCCUUGGAGAUUCUUAAUGAAAGAGUGAUUCUUUUGCAUA